AGAGUUUGACUCUGGCUCAGGAUGAACGCUAGCGAUAGGCUUAACACAUGCAAGUCGAGGGGCAGCGAGAUGUAGCAAUACGUCGUCGGCGACCGGCGAAUGGGUGAGUAACACGUAUGCAACUUACCUCUUAGAGGUGAAUAACCCGAUGAAAGUCGGACUAAUACACCAUAUACUCCUUGGGUCACAUGAAUUGAGGAGGAAAGAUUUAUCGCUAAGAGAUAGGCCUGCGUUCCAUUAGCUCGUUGGUAAGGUAACGGCUUACCAAGGCAACGAUGGAUAGGGGGACUGAGAGGUUGACCCCCCACAUUGACACUGAGAUACGGGUCAAACUCCUACGGGAGGCAGCAGUGAGGAAUAUUGGUCAAUGGGCGAGAGCCUGAACCAGCCAAGUCGCGUGAAGGAAGACUGCCCGCAAGGGUUGUAAACUUCUUUUGUAUGGGAUUAAAGUCGUCUACGUGUAGACGUUUGCAGUUACCAUACGAAUAAGCAUCGGCUAACUCCGUGCCAGCAGCCGCGGUAAUACGGAGGAUGCGAGCGUUAUCCGGAAUUAUUGGGUUUAAAGGGUGCGUAGGUUGCAAGGGAAGUCAGGGGUGAAAAGCUGUAGCUCAACUAUGGUCUUGCCUUUGAAACUCUCUAGCUAGAGUGUACUGGAGGUACGUGGAACGUGUGGUGUAGCGGUGAAAUGCAUAGAUAUCACACAGAACUCCGAUUGCGCAGGCAGCGUACUACAUUACAACUGACACUGAAGCACGAAAGCGUGGGUAUCCAACAGGAUUAGAUACCCUGGUAGUCCACGCAGUAAACGAUGAAUACUAGAUCUAUGCGAUAUACAGUAUGGGUCUAAGCGAAAGCGAUAAGUAUUCCACCUGGGGAGUACGCCGGCAACGGUGAAACUCAAAGAGAUUGGCGGGGGUCCGCACAAGCGGAGGAACAUGUGGUUUAAUUCGAUGAUACGCGAGGAACCUUA
rnacentral:rRNA from 1 species